rfam:Photobacterium sp. 13-12 C1759, whole genome shotgun sequence.
CCAUCUGUAUCACCAGAUGAACCUAUGAGCCUGAAUAAAGCAGCGGCUCAGACAAUGUAACGAAGAGUGAUUUAAAUCUCUCGGGAUCUGAAUCGUGAGAGGGCGAUCCUCCUGAUAACCACACAAAUCGGGUGAGUGC